CUUGUGCCUUACACUGCCAGGGGCUACUUGAUGGCCUCAUUUAUAAGAAUUUACCCUGCAACUUAAAUGACCAAACAAACACCAGCCCUACAACAGAGAGACAGAGCUUGGUGCCUCAUGAACCUUUGGUUUGGCUCAUCCCACUGAUGACACAUGAAGAGAUAAAUGCAGGAUGCAAUGUUUCCAUGCAAAAUUGUUUCCACCAUUCUGAAGUUACUAAAAGCCCAAGGAUGGACCAAGGCCUUUUCUACAUGCUCUUCCCACCUGCUGGUCGUGGCGCUGUUUUUUUGGAUCUGCUAGCAUUACUGACUUCAGAUCAAAGUCCAACCAUUCUGCAGGAACUAACAAACUGCUGUCUCUCUUCUACACUAUCCUGGCUCCCAUGUUCAACCCCAUGGUAUACAGCCUCAGGAACAAGGAUGUCAUUGUGGCACUGAGAAAAAUAUUUCUUAAAACACAGUGCCAUGGUUCUCCUUGAAGUUUUGGUCAUAUAGCUGUCAGAGAAAUAUUUCAAUGCUCUACAGUCUCCCUUUGAGCACUUAAUGUGUUUUUAUUACAUUUAUAUAUUGGCUUGCAAUUUGCUGUGCCUGGAUGCAGAGUAGAACCAUUCACCUAUCUUCAGUGAUCCAUG
rnacentral:lncRNA from 1 species